rnacentral:rRNA from 1 species
AGUGAACGCUGGCGGUAGGCCUAACACAUGCAAGUCGAACGGCAGCACAGUAAGAGCUUGCUCUUACGGGUGGCGAGUGGCGGACGGGUGAGGAAUACAUCGGAAUCUACUUUUUCGUGGGGGAUAACGUAGGGAAACUUACGCUAAUACCGCAUACGACCUACGGGUGAAAGCAGGGGAUCUUCGGACCUUGCGCGAUUGAAUGAGCCGAUGUCGGAUUAGCUAGUUGGCGGGGUAAAGGCCCACCAAGGCGACGAUCCGUAGCUGGUCUGAGAGGAUGAUCAGCCACACUGGAACUGAGACACGGUCCAGACUCCUACGGGAGGCAGCAGUGGGGAAUAUUGGACAAUGGGCGCAAGCCUGAUCCAGCCAUACCGCGUGGGUGAAGAAGGCCUUCGGGUUGUAAAGCCCUUUUGUUGGGAAAGAAAGGCAGCAGGUUAAUACCCCGCUGUUCCGACGGUACCCAAAGAAUAAGCACCGGCUAACUUCGUG